UACAGAGGGUGCGAGCGUUGUCCGGAAUUACUGGGCGUAAAGGGCGCGUAGGCGGCCCCGUGCGCGUGCCGUGAAAGCCCGGGGCUCAACCCCGGGUCGGCGGUGCGGACGGCGGGGCUGGAGCACGGCAGGGGCAGGCGGAAUUCCGGGUGUAGCGGUGGAAUGCGUAGAGAUCCGGAAGAACACCGGUGGCGAAGGCGGCCUGCUGGGACGUGGCUGACGCUGAGGCGCGACAGCGUGGGGAGCAAACAGG
rnacentral:rRNA from 1 species